UUCCACCAAUUUAUCUAAAAUUUGCUCUCAAAAUAUUACGUAAUGAACGAGUGUCAUCACAACCCCAAACAUACUUCGUUGCUUGUCCUUAAGUAACCUUUUUGCACACUGGAGUUUCGUCGUAAAUAAAAUACUUACCCUUAUCAAUGAACGUCACAUUUUUUAUCACCACUUAUGUUCUCUGAUUUAGUACAAAUAAUUCCAAAAAUUUCAUCCAGCAACACAAGUACUCAACAUGUCUCUCAUCUCACCUUUUUCACUCAGUUUG
rnacentral:lncRNA from 1 species